rnacentral:rRNA from 1 species
GACGAACGCUGGCGGCGUGCUUAACACAUGCAAGUCGAACGGAAAGGCCCUGCUUUUGUGGGGUGCUCGAGUGGCGAACGGGUGAGUAACACGUGAGUAACCUGCCCUUGACUUUGGGAUAACUUCAGGAAACUGGGGCUCAUACCGGAUAUGAGCUCCUGCUGCAUGGUGUGGGUUGGAAAGUUUCGGCGGUUGGGGAUGGACUCGCGGCUUAUCCGCUUGUUGGUGGGGUAGUGGCUUACCAAGGCUUUGACGGGUAGCCGGCCUGGGAGGGUUACCGGCGACAUUGGGACUGAGAUACGGCGCAGACUCGUACGGGAGGCAGCAGGGGGGAAUAUUGCACAAUAGGCGGAAGCCUGAUGUAGCAACGCCGCGUGCGGGAUGACGGGCUUCGGGUUGUAAACCGCUUUCGCCUGUGACGAAGCGUGAGUGACGGUAAUGGGUAAAGAAGCAACGGCUAACUACGUG